AUUGAACGCUGGCGGCAGGCCUAACACAUGCAAGUCGAGCGAGCGGCGGACGGGUGUGUAAUGUCUGGGAAACUGCCUGAUGGAGGGGGCUAACUACUGGAAACGGUAGCUACUACCGCAUACCAUCAGAUGUGCCCAGAUGGGAUUAGCUAGUAGGUGGGGUAACGGCUCCCCUAGGCGACGAUCCCUAGCUGGUCUGAGAGGAUGACCAUCAACACUGGAACUGAGGAACGGUCCAGACUCCUACGGGAGGCAGAAGUGGGGAAUAUUGCACAAUGUGCGCAAGCCUGAUGCAGCCAUGCCGCUUGUGUGAAGAAGGCCUUGGGGUUGUAAAGCACUUUCAGCGGGGGGGCGUUACCCGCAGAAGAAGCACCGGCUAACUCCGUGCCAGCCGCCGCGGUAAUUC
rnacentral:rRNA from 1 species